UAACUGUUUACACCCUCCAUCUUUAUAAAUAGAUAACCGAACAUUGUACAAAAUAAGUGUCAAUCAUGAACAAAACACACUUUAGUUUGUCUUUCAUUUUGCUUAUUCUCUUUUCUUCUCAGAUGAUGAUAGAAACAAAAGGAAGUAAAUGCAUUGAAGGUGAAUGCAAAAUCUUUUGUACGUUUAGAGGUUUUAUAGAUGGUAUAUGCUCACCAAGAACUAACCAAUGUCUCUGCGUGGUCCAUGAAAUGAGGAAUUGAGGAUACAACCUUAAUAAGUUAAUUAUAUUUAUGGUUCUUUAAUUGUUAGCUCUGAUUUUUGGCAUUCUUUUUGUUUAGUUUUUCGACUCAUUUUGUAUUGUUUAUCAGCUACCAUUUGCAUUGUACUUUAUUUUUCUGCUAUCUAUAUAAUUAUUUGUCUUUAAUUUA